AGAGUUUGAUCCUGGCUCAGGACGAACGCUGGCGGCGUGCCUAAUACAUGCAAGUAGAACGCUGAAGAGAGGAGCUUGCUCUUCUUGGAUGAGUUGCGAACGGGUGAGUAACGCGUAGGUAACCUGCCUUGUAGCGGGGGAUAACUAUUGGAAACGAUAGCUAAUACCGCAUAACAAUGGAUGACACAUGUCAUUUAUUUGAAAGGGGCAAUUGUUCCACUACAAGAUGGACCUGCGUUGUAUUAGCUAGUAGGUGAGGUAAUGGCUCACCUAGGCGACGAUACAUAGCCGACCUGAGAGGGUGAUCGGCCACACUGGGACUGAGACACGGCCCAGACUCCUACGGGAGGCAGCAGUAGGGAAUCUUCGGCAAUGGGGGCAACCCUGACCGAGCAACGCCGCGUGAGUGAAGAAGGUUUUCGGAUCGUAAAGCUCUGUUGUAAGUCAAGAACGGGUGUGAGAGUGGAAAGUUCACACUGUGACGGUAGCUUACCAGAAAGGGACGGCUAACUACGUGCCAGCAGCCGCGGUAAUACGUAGGUCCCGAGCGUUGUCCGGAUUUAUUGGGCGUAAAGCGAGCGCAGGCGGUUUGAUAAGUCUGAAGUUAAAGGCUGUGGCUCAACCAUAGUUCGCUUUGGAAACUGUCAAACUUGAGUGCAGAAGGGGAGAGUGGAAUUCCAUGUGUAGCGGUGAAAUGCGUAGAUAUAUGGAGGAACACCGGUGGCGAAAGCGGCUCUCUGGUCUGUAACUGACGCUGAGGCUCGAAAGCGUGGGGAGCGAACAGGAUUAGAUACCCUGGUAGUCCACGCCGUAAACGAUGAGUGCUAGGUGUUGGAUCCUUUCCGGGAUUCAGUGCCGCAGCUAACGCAUUAAGCACUCCGCCUGGGGAGUACGACCGCAAGGUUGAAACUCAAAGGAAUUGACGGGGGCCCGCACAAGCGGUGGAGCAUGUGGUUUAAUUCGAAGCAACGCGAAGAACCUUACCAGGUCUUGACAUCCCGAUGCUAUUUCUAGAGAUAGAAAGUUACUUCGGUACAUCGGUGACAGGUGGUGCAUGGUUGUCGUCAGCUCGUGUCGUGAGAUGUUGGGUUAAGUCCCGCAACGAGCGCAACCCCUAUUGUUAGUUGCCAUCAUUCAGUUGGGCACUCUAGCGAGACUGCCGGUAAUAAACCGGAGGAAGGUGGGGAUGACGUCAAAUCAUCAUGCCCCUUAUGACCUGGGCUACACACGUGCUACAAUGGUUGGUACAACGAGUUGCGAGUCGGUGACGGCGAGCUAAUCUCUUAAAGCCAAUCUCAGUUCGGAUUGUAGGCUGCAACUCGCCUACAUGAAGUCGGAAUCGCUAGUAAUCGCGGAUCAGCACGCCGCGGUGAAUACGUUCCCGGGCCUUGUACACACCGCCCGUCACACCACGAGAGUUUGUAACACCCGAAGUCGGUGAGGUAACCUUUUGGAGCCAGCCGCCUAAGGUGGGACAGAUGAUUGGGGUGAAGUCGUAACAAGGUAGCCGUAUCGGAAGGUGCGGCUGGAUCACCUCCUUUCU
rnacentral:rRNA from 1 species